UACGGGGGGGGCAAGCGUUGUUCGGAAUUACUGGGCGGAAAGGGCUCGUAGGCGGCCAACUAAGUCAGACGUGAAAUCCCUCGGCUUAACCGGGGAACUGCGUCUGAUACUGGAUGGCUUGAGAUUGGGAGAGGGAUGCGGAAUUCCAGGUGUAGCGGUGAAAUGCGUAGAUAUCGGAAGGAACACCAGUGGCGAAAGCGGCUUCCUGGUCCAGCACCGACGUUCAGGCACGAAAGCGUGGGGAGCAAACAGG
rnacentral:rRNA from 1 species